AGUGAACGCUGGCGGUAGGCCUAACACAUGCAAGUCGAACGGCAGCACAGGAGAGCUUGCUCUCUGGGUGGCGAGUGGCGGACGGGUGAGGAAUACAUCGGAAUCUACCUUUUCGUGGGGGAUAACGUAGGGAAACUUACGCUAAUACCGCAUACGGCCUACGGGUGAAAGUGGGGGACCGCAAGGCCUCACGCGAUUAGAUGAGCCGAUGUCCGAUUAGCUAGUUGGCGGGGUAAUGGCCCACCAAGGCGACGAUCGGUAGCUGGUCUGAGAGGAUGAUCAGCCACACUGGAACUGAGACACGGUCCAGACUCCUACGGGAGGCAGCAGUGGGGAAUAUUGGACAAUGGGCGCAAGCCUGAUCCAGCCAUACCGCGUGGGUGAAGAAGGCCUUUGGGUUGUAAAGCCCUUUUGUUGGGAAAGAAAUCCUAUCGGUUAAUAACCGGUGGGGAUGACGGUACCCAAAGAAUAAGCACCGGCUAACUUCGUGCCAGCAGCCGCCGUAAAAC
rnacentral:rRNA from 1 species